rnacentral:rRNA from 1 species
UACGUAGGUGGCAAGCGUUGUCCGGAUUUACUGGGCGUAAAGGGCGUGCAGGCGGUUUGUUAAGUCUAGGGUGAAAGCUCCCGGCUCAACUGGGAGAGGUCUUUGGAUACUGGCGGACUUGAGGAGGGUAGAGGAGAGUGGAAUUCCCGGUGUAGUGGUGAUAUGCGUAGAUAUCGGGAGGAACACCAGUGGCGAAGGCGGCUCUCUGGGCCCUACCUGACGCUGAGACGCGAAAGCGUGGGGAGCGAACCGG